UACGAAGGGGGCUAGCGUUGCUCGGAAUCACUGGGCGUAAAGCGCACGUAGGCGGCUUUUUAAGUCAGGGGUGAAAUCCUGGAGCUCAACUCCAGAACUGCCUUUGAUACUGGGAAGCUUGAGUCCGGGAGAGGUGAGUGGAACUCCCGGUGUAGUGGUGAAAUGCGUAGAUAUCGGGAGGAACACCAGUGGCGAAGGCGGCUUCCUGGCCUGUUCUUGAUGCUGAGGCGCGAAAGCUAGGGGAGCAAACGGG
rnacentral:rRNA from 1 species